AAUUUUUUUUUCUCUUAUUUUUUAAAAAAGGGAUAAUUUACAGGUGUCAAACCCUUAUAGAAAUCUGAAAGAUGGUAAUGAGUCACGACCAUGAGGCUCAAUCCAAACCCAAACCAAAACCAAAACCAAAACCGAAAUCAGACCGCCAGGAGCCUACUUCUGUUUCAAAUCAUCUUGGCUCUCGCUUCCUUCCCUCCCUUCAUUUCCCGCCUCUAACUCUAACCUCACUCAUUUAAAACAUCGCAAAAUCUCUCUCCUUCUCUAACCCUAAUCUCACCCCCUCCCAAUCUGUCUAUCUAACCAUGAAGCGAAGAACUCGCUCCCUUCCCAGGACCGAGCCCUAUUUAAAGUUUCUUAAGCCGGGCGCGUUAGCUCAACUCAGAGACUCUCGAAUCAGCGCCAGAUCCCACCGAGUCAACUCGCUCCGGUUGAUCCCUCUCCACCGAGCCUCUUUUCCUUCAUCUCUCUCAUCUAAUUCCGAACAGCCCCAGGUCAACAACAUGGACGGUUUGCCUUGCUUCUUGAGCAGGAUCUACGGUCCUAGUUGUCCUCAAAGGAAGAAGCUCGUGGCUGCUAAGUCCGUGUUGUUUCUGUGCUCGAGGCCGUCGAGUCCAGUAUCGGAUUCGCCAGAUCCAAUCAUCAAUUUGUUGAACAGCGAUAGUAUUGUUAUUGCUCACUGAAUGAAACGUUUUUUUUUGUGGUAGAUUAUGUUCUAUUUGUUGUUAUUUUCAUCGUCCUUAGACGGAUUAAGCUGAAAAUUGUCUUAGAUAGAACUGAAAUCAAUAACGAAUUACAUGGAUUUUCCAUUUUAAAUAUGACUUUACAGAUUGAUUAAUUUUGGGCUUCUAUUAGGCUUACAGCUCUAGCACAUUUCUGCUAGAACGUUGAUAAUCAUUUAUGUUCAUGCUAAUUAUGCUGCUUGGUAACUAUCAAAUAGUUCAGUCACAAGUCCUUCACAAUUGCUAGUUGUGAGUUCUUAAUCUGCAACAAAUCUUACUAUAAAUUGUGUUAUGUGUUGCGUUAAUUAGGUAUGAAGUUUCAAAGACUUCAGUUAUGCAUCAUUCUUCUAAACUGUGUUAUUUUGGUACAAUUGGCUUCAGACUAACUUAGUAUCUCAGUUCUAGAGAUCACUCCAGUUAUUACCAUUAGUUGGAUUAUCUACAGAAGUCCCAAUUUCACUUGUUUUAAUCACCAUUAUAAGUUUGCCAUUUGGUCUGUGUAUUGAACAGGGGCAGGUGUUCAUGAAUCUAUGUUUGUUUUUAUCUUUUUAUAGUGAAAGCAAGUAGAAUUUGUCAGUGCACACAGGUUUGUGUGACCAAGAAAGCUUAAAGGGAAAGUUAUUAUAGGUGGUAGACAAUAAUGAAUUCUUUUGAUUGAAAUCUUUCGUCAAAAAUUAAUUAGUCUGUGUUUAUUAACUUUCUUAAACAAAUACUUUCUUUAGUAUUAGCACUUCUCGGUGCUUCUGUUACUUGGGUAAGUUUCUAGAAUGAUAUGCCUUAUCCUGAACUGUAGUUGAGCAAACACUUAUGACUUCUUGGCUUGUUAAAGGUAAAUUCAGUUCUAGAAACAUAAAUUAGUAAGAGCAAUGGGUCGAGAUUUCUUUUUUUAGCUUACGGACUGUAAACCAGAGUCAUUUUUUCGUCUUUGGUUAUCCCAAGAACAUGUUCUUAAAAUGCCUAGUGGCAAAUGACAAACACAAGUAUUGUUUGUUCCUUGAUGUAGCUUGAAAGGGUAUGGGGAUUGGUAUCAUAUCCUGCUACAUGGGUUGCCAAGUUUGUUAAAAAGGACGGAGUUAUGCAUGUCUGGUAUAUUUUGUGAAUCACAUUCUCUAAGCAUUGUGAAUUUCAAAGCUGUUUUGAAGUUUUAUUUAGAUGAGAAGCCCAACUGUUCAGCAGAAUCCACCAGUAGUUCAAUUCAAGAGAAUUCAUUCCCAUGAUUUGAGUGAGAGGCAAUGUGUUAUAACAACUAGAACCUGAUUUCUUGUGCUUCCAGGAUUAUGAUUCAGAAAGAAAUGCAUUUUGUUUUUCUUCUUUUCAUUAACAUGAGUGUAUUGCAGCUUCUCCAGAAAGAAACGAAGUAUCUAUAGUGCACUUUCAGCUUGUGAGAAAUUAGUUGACAGAUCCAGAAGGUUUAGUUUGCUCCUGGUGACUUCAUAACUCAUAUUUUCUCCAAUACUCUUUCAGCUUAUCACAUCCUCUCAUCUUUUCUUCUGAUCAGAGCAUCAGUAAAAUUCGACCCAAGCGAAGAAAUCAAGAAAGGCUUUGUGCUUGCAGAUUCUAAUUUGGAGGAUUAAUAUGCAGCCAUUCUCAUCAAAAAUAAAGUUGAAAGUAAAUUAAUGACGCAUGAGAGUGAACUUGUUUCCUCCAAUCCUAAUAUGGUGAAGCCAUUCUCCAUCAGACAGCAAAAUUACUGAAGAUUUCACAUCAUGAAAUUAGCUUUUUAAUGUUUGAUAUGUAUAGGAAGGUUACUUGAGACGACCUGCUCUAUUAAAACAUGAAACUGAUGAACCUCCUUGACCACUCAUGCAGCGGACUCAAUGGGAAAAUCUUCAACCUCUCUAGUGUAGAGUUGCAGACAAAUCCUGUUUGAAUGGCAACUAGCCUCGAGAGUUAAACCUUUUCUUUGAAUUCUGUUGGAUUUAGACGCAAUCCUUUCUCCCCAAGUCCGAUGGAAAUAUCCAAGUCUUGACAGCCACCAUUUAUUGCUUAGUCAUAUUGAUAGUUUAUAUCCUUUAAUGGAACAAUCUUUUUAAUUUUGCUUCAAUAUCAAUAAGGGGAAUUUAUAA